rnacentral:rRNA from 1 species
CAAUAGCGUAUAUUAAAGUUGUUGCAGUUAGAACGCUCGUAGUCGGAUUUCGGGGCGGGCCGACCGGUCUGCCGAUGGGUAUGCACUGGUCGGCGCGUCCUUCCUUCCGGAGACCGUCCCUACUCUUAACUGAGCGGGGGCGGGAGACGGGACUUUUACUUUGAAAAAAUCAGAGUGUUUCAAGCAGGCAGCUCGCUCUUGCAUGGAUUAGCCUGGGAUAAUGAAAUAGGACUUUGGUGCUAUUUUGUUGGUUUCGAACACCGAAGUAAUGAUGAGAAGGGACAGUCAGGGGCACUCGUAUUCCGCCGAGAGAGGUGAAAUUCUCAGACCAGCGGAAGACGAACCACUGCGAAAGCAUUUGCCAGGGAUGUUUUCACUGA